rnacentral:rRNA from 1 species
AGUGAACGCUGGCGGUAGGCCUAACACAUGCAAGUCGAACGAAAGCACAGUAAGAGCUUGCCCUCACGGGUGGCGAGUGGCGGACGGGUGAGGAAUACAUCGGAAUCUACUUUUUCGUGGGGGAUAUCGUAGGAACACUUACGCUACUACCGCAUACGACCUACGGGUGAAAGCAGGAGAUAAACGGACCUUGCGCGAUUGAUUGAGCCGGAGUCGGAUUAGCUAGUUGGCGGGGUAAAGGCCCACCAAGGCAACGAUCCGUAGCUGGUCUGAGAGGAUGAUCAGCCACACUGGAACUGAGACACGGUCCAGACUCCUACGGGAGGCAGCAGUGGGGAAUAUUGGACAAUGGGCGCAAGCCUGAUCCAGCCAUACCGCGUGGGUGAAGAAGGCCUUCGGGUUGUAAAGCCCUUUUAUUGGGAAAGAAAAACAGCGUAUGAAUCCCCCGCUGUUCUGACGGUACCCAAAGAAUAAGCACCGGCUAACUUCGUG